GACGAACGCUGGCGGCGUGCUUAACACAUGCAAGUCGAACGGAAAGGCCCUGCUUGCCGGGUGCUCGAGUGGCGAACGGGUGAGUAACACGUGGGUGAUCUGCCCCUUACUUUGGGAUAAGCCUGGGAAACUGGGUCUAGUACUGGAUAGGACCAUGCUGUAGGUGGUGUGGUGGAAAGAUUAGUUUCGGUAAGGGAUGAGCUCGCGGCCUAUCAGCUUGUUGGUGGGGUAAUGGCCUACCAAGGCGUCGACGGGUAGCCGGCCUGAGAGGGUGGACGGCCACAUUGGGACUGAGAUACGGCCCAGACUCCUACGGGAGGCAGCAGUGGGGAAUAUUGCACAAUGGGCGCAAGCCUGAUGCAGCGACGCCGCGUGGGGGAUGACGGCCUUCGGGUUGUAAACUCCUUUCAGCCAUGACGAAGCCCUUGUGGUGACGGUAGUGGUAGAAGAAGCACCGGCUAACUACGUG
rnacentral:rRNA from 1 species